UUCCUUUCCAGUCCAGCAAGCAAGUCUAAGAGCAAAGAUUUGAAUUGGAAAUCCAACUAUUUCACUGCAAAGAAAACCAUUGACGUCCAUGAAGAUUUAGACAGCCAGGCUCUCAAAAAUUGGUGGAUAUGACUUAAAGAGCUGUUUAAGCACCAUCAUGGACAGCUCAUGACAAAUGAAUUAAUGUCCAAUCUGAACAUGAAGGGGAGAGGGGGAAAAAAAUAGCUUUGCCGAGACGAAGCUGCUCGAUUUAGUCACAGCUAGUGUCUUGGAUACCCAGAAGGGGACCGAAACGAUGGUCCAUGAUGCCAUAAAAAAUAAACUGAAAUAUGCCCCUGGACGGAAGGGAGGAAUAGGAUGGGCAUCACAGGCUAAAUAAAUAAUUAUAUCAAUUGACAUUCUCCAUUUUCUUUGUACUUAAUUUUAAUUUUGCAUUAACAGGAUUCAGCCUGGAGCUAUAUAUGCACUAUGUUU